rnacentral:rRNA from 1 species
AACCGGAGCUAAUACCGGAUAAUCCUUUUCCUCUCAUGAGGAAAAGCUGAAAGUCGGUUUACGCUGACACUUACAGAUGGGCCCGCGGCGCAUUAGCUAGUUGGUGAGGUAACGGCUCACCAAGGCGACGAUGCGUAGCCGACCUGAGAGGGUGAUCGGCCACACUGGGACUGAGACACGGCCCAGACUCCUACGGGAGGCAGCAGUAGGGAAUCUUCCGCAAUGGACGAAAGUCUGACGGAGCAACGCCGCGUGAGCGAUGAAGGCCUUCGGGUCGUAAAGCUCUGUUGUUAGGGAAGAACAAGUACCGGAGUAACUGCCGGUACCUUGACGGUACCUAACCAGAAAGCCACGGCUAACUA